rnacentral:rRNA from 1 species
AACGAACGCUGGCGGCAGGCUUAACACAUGCAAGUCGAGCGCCCCGCAAGGGGAGCGGCAGACGGGUGAGUAACGCGUGGGAACGUACCCUUUGCUACGGAAUAGCUCCGGGAAACUGGAAUUAAUACCGUAUGUGCCCUACGGGGGAAAGAUUUAUCGGCAAAGGAUCGGCCCGCGUUGGAUUAGCUAGUUGGUGGGGUAAUGGCCUACCAAGGCGACGAUCCAUAGCUGGUCUGAGAGGAUGAUCAGCCACAUUGGGACUGAGACACGGCCCAAACUCCUACGGGAGGCAGCAGUGGGGAAUAUUGGACAAUGGGCGCAAGCCUGAUCCAGCCAUGCCGCGUGAGUGAUGAAGGCCUUAGGGUUGUAAAGCUCUUUCACCGGAGAAGAUAAUGACGGUGUCCGGAGAAGAAGCCCCGGCUAACUUCGUGCAGCCGCCGCCGUAAGAC